CUCUGCAGCAACUUCUUUCAGAGGGCAGUCCACUAUUCCCUUUCCUCUGCCUUCUCCUUCCUGGCCCAGUACUGCUCCUUUCCCCAUGCUGGCACCAGCACACACAUGAUUGUGAAGUGAACCAGGACAGGGAACUCUGCCAGCUAAAAACGAAACAAUUUCCUUUUCCCCAGGUUAGUUUUGACCUUGAUGAGUUCCCUGAUCUGGUUCGUUGCGGGGCCACAAGAACACUUGUGCUGGCACAAGUGAAGCUUUCUCUGGAUUUACGGUGGUGUAGCUGAAAGCAGGAUUGGCCCCAUGACUGUAGCAGCAUUAGUCUGCUCCCUGCUCUGGCAGCUGACAAUGCAUUUCCUUCUGCAGAGUCCCCACAGACUCCCCAGGGUUGCCAGUACACAGAGAAGAGGGUUGCUAGAGGCACUUUCACACCUGCUAAUGGAAGAGUCAUCAAAACUGGUCUCUGAGGGAAAUGAGUUCUCCUUGAAAAUGAAAAGAGUUAAAUCAUGGUGGGUGCUUCCUGACAUGAAAUUCAGCCCAUGAGAGGAGACUGCUGGAGGGGAGGGAGUUGUCCCUUUUUAGGACUAUACCCACCUUCUGAACACUGUCUCUCUGCUUGCUUCUUGUCUUACAAGAAUAUGCAAAAGAUGACAAGUAUCUUUUGCAAGACCUGCAGCAAUUUACUGCAGGAUUUGUAGAGAAAAACAGUACAGCCUCCCUGUUUCCCCUCCAAACCCAGGACUGUGAGAUUAUUGCAGCAAAAGAAUUAAGGCUCUUGCUGGAAGAGAAAAACUCACUCGUUUGCAUGGGAGUUGCAGGCAGGACUUGGGUGAUGGGCUAAUACCCAUCAACACAUUUUUGAUGUCACUGUGCUGUUCCCCUCUACUUGAGCUGACAGCUGAUGGCAGGACUUGGCUGAAUCUCCCCUGCAUUGAGAGGAGUUUGGAUGUCAGAUGCAGGGAGAUGGAGCAAGCUUGAGCAGCCAGCCGUGAGCAGAGUGAAGCAGUGAGGAAUGAUUCUCUGCUCGGGGGCGUGAGGUGCCAUUGCUAGCCUGACCUUUUGAAUACAAAGCAUUUGUCAGAAAUCCAGAGAAAAACGAGCUGAACCAGUCAGGGUGGCUCUGCCUUUCUUUUAAGGGAAGCUCAUGUAUUUAAGCAGACACACCUACCCCCAGGCAUGACCCAGACAUUGUGUGCAAGGAUCUCUGAUGAUACUGGGGGCCCUCGUUAACUCCAGUGAGCAGGAGAAAUAAACUUCACACCCUUGUGUGGGCUCUUGGCUCAUUCCAGAUGGGAGUCCAGUAACUCCCAUUCUAGCCAGGGCAAGUUGUAAAAGGGUAACAAGAUGUUAAAAGCACCAUGACACGGCUGCAGGCAGCUCUACUAAAAGGUGUGUGAAUCCUAAAUAUCCUGUCCUGCGCCUUGGAGUUUCAGUGCUCAGUGUCUGCCAUGCAGCCAGCCUGUCUCAGAGGCUGGCUCCCAAUAUCUCUGCGAGUCCCUGAGCCACUCUCCAAUGUAGAUCCCCCAAAAUCUCAUGCCUGGAGCUCUGGACUCCCGUGACUGAACCCCCCAUGAUGUUCUCCCUGUGCAGCAGGGCCUCGCAGCCGUGAAGGUUCUCAGCCUCACACCUUGGUGGUCAUGGUAGGAGGAUGAGGAUGUGAGUGGCAGCUCAGGGUCAAGAGAGAGCAGUGAAGUUUAUGCACCCUGGAAUCCCUGUCAGAGGCACUUUUGUGCACCACAGCUGAGAGUUCUGUCCAUCCAGAUCUGGAGAGCUGAUAUACACCAUGCAUCUUCCCAUGUGUGAGAGGUCACAGACUGCUCUGUGUGGCAGAAUGAGUAAGAUGAACCCUCCUUAGACUCCACCAUUCCAAGUAUGCUUUUCCCAGGAGCAUUUCUUCCCUCCUUUAUUAGAUCUGCUUUAAGCUGCUGCAGAGCUGCACCCCCAGCAACCUCCCUGCGACUCUUGGAAACGUCCACAGGUUGCACACCAUGGAAUAACACAUCAGCACAUUCCAGAGUCACUUUUAACUCUGAUCUCCUCCCUAAGCCAUUCACGCACGCAGAUCUCCUAUGUGGAUUAAGGAAGGCAGAACUCCAGCUGGGAAGGACCCCCUCCUGUUCCCUGCUCCUUUCUGCAGCAGCAGACAGAACAAUUGGCUGUCCGAGUGAACCUCGAGUCCCGCAGCGCUGCCUGAGCCGUGCGGGGCAAAGAUCCAGCGGGGUAAGGAACCAGCGGAACGGAGAGCUGACAGAACUCUGGUGUCGCUCCGUGCUCGGCCCUGACAUCUAGUGGAACAAUCCCUCUAAAGCACCUCAAGCCGAGCUGGAAAGAUCAGGGUUCGCUUCCCUGCGAGGCUCGAUGGAGCAACCAUUCGUCUGAAGGAUCGUUUCUUUUAUUGCACGUAACACUUGCCAAAGGAUUUUGUUGCGGAAGGAAGGAGGAGGUCGCUGCAUGAACAAGGAGAACGCACUUUGGGUAGUAGUUUUUACCUUUUCCUCCAAAUCUGAACUUGAUUUUGCUGUCAGGUGGAAGGUCUUUUUGCUGCAGCAGUGACAAACAUCAGUUUCACAGUUACUUCUUGAUUAACACCAUUAAAUGAAAACCAACUGUGACACAAUCCCAAGAGGCCAUAGGGUAAAACUGUCAGAGAGCUCAUAAUAAACCCUGUGAAAGAUGCAAUAUUGCUAUGGGCUAAAUUUUCCACCUGGCUUCUCAGAACACAGCUGUGCCACUUGUAAGUACCACUGUUUGCAUACAGGACCCUUGCUCUGUUUUCACAGGUGAGAAAGGAGCUCUCAGUGCAUGGAAACAUUUUGUCUAUAUAAACCAGAUUUUUCAACUGCUCAGCUGGAAGUGAUGCACAUAAUUGUCUUUCAUAAGGAAAUGCAUAAAAACCUCACUGCAACCAAGAGGCCAAAUGUGUUUUUUUGCUCUUGGAAAGUUGUGGAAUAUUUGUGAUGCACUUUGUGUAGGAGCUGAAAGCGUUACGGUGACAGUGAUGACAAAGAUGGCCAGCUGCUGCUGAGGUACAACAGGAAUCUUUAUUUAUAAGAUUUAGAGACUCUGCCUUUGUGGUGCUUGAUCACCAGCACAGACAAAUUGAGUUUCCCAUGGCCAGACAGCCCUGCAAGGGUCUGGGUCUAAGGUUCAUGCCUUCCCACAUGCAAGUCAGAUCUUUACAAAGGCCAAACCUCAUUCUUUUGCAUUCUUCAAACAGGGGCAUAGAGAAAGGGGCAGAAAUGCCUUAAAUGGCCCCAGGAAUUUCCACCCCAAGGUUGGAGUACUCCUCAGAGAUGUGCUUCAGGGUGCCAGGCCAAGUGACUGACUAACCCUGGGGAAAGUUAUUGCCCAUCAGCUGACUCUGCUUGUGGGGCACACCUUACUUCACCUCUAAUGCCAACAGAGUUGGUUACUGGGCUGUGCUGAUUGUUGGCAACUUAUUAAACUGCUUCUGAUUGCAUGUCUGUAUCUUAAAAGUCUGAUCUGAGACAGGUGAAGUAGAAUCAGAGCCAAAGCUUUUGUACUCUUUCCAUCUGCUACUUGAUUCUUCAUCAAAUUCAGGGCCGAGGCAGUGUCAGAGAGCUCCUGCAGAACAGAGGCAUCUCUGCUGUUAAUGUGCUGGGCAGUGCCUCUGUCUCAGGGCCAGGGCUUCUCCUGGUGGGUUUAUUUAGAAUUUGCACAAUUUGAUCACUGCACAAGUCUUAAACAAGGAAUUAAUUGAGAUUUUAAUAAAUGGUCACUGCAUGCUAAUUGAGUACCCACUUGAUUAUUUAAAGAUAUUAUGUGAAGUUUGUGUAAUUGGUUACAUUGGUAUUAAAUUAGCAUAUAAAAUCUCCUGCAACUCUCAUAUGAUUUAAUGAGGCUGUUAUCGUGCGUGAAUAAAACGGUGAUUGAUGAGUGAAAA